rnacentral:rRNA from 1 species
ACAGGCUUAACACAUGCAAGUCGAGGGGUAGCAGGGUAGCAAUACCGCUGACGACCGGCGCACGGGUGAGUAACACGUAUCCAACCUUCCCAUAACUCGGGGAUAGCCUUUCGAAAGAAAGAUUAAUACCCGAUAGUACUUAUAUAAGGCAUCUUAGAUAAGUUAAAGAUUUAUUGGUUAUGGAUGGGGAUGCGUUCCAUUAGAUAGUUGGUGAGGUAACGGCUCACCAAGUCCUCGAUGGAUAGGGGUUCUGAGAGGAAGGUCCCCCACAUUGGUACUGAGACACGGACCAAACUCCUACGGGAGGCAGCAGUGAGGAAUAUUGGUCAAUGGGCGAGAGCCUGAACCAGCCAAGUAGCGUGAAGGAUGACGG